rnacentral:rRNA from 1 species
UACGGAGGGUGUAAGCGUUAUCCGGAUUCACUGGGUUUAAAGGGUGCGUAGGAGGGCAGGUAAGUCAGUGGUGAAAUCUCCGGGCUCAACUCGGAAACUGCCGUUGAUACUAUCUGUCUUGAAUAUCGUGGAGGUGAGUGGAAUAUGUCAUGUAGCGGUGAAAUGCUUAGAUAUGACAUAGAACACCAAUUGCGAAGGCAGCUCACUACACGUAUAUUGACUCUGAGGCACGAAAGCGUGGGGAUCAAACAGG